rnacentral:rRNA from 1 species
GAUGUGAAAUCCCCGGGCUCAACCUGGGAACUGCAUCUGAUACUGGCAAGCUUGAGUCUCGUAGAGGGGGGUAGAAUUCCAGGUGUAGCGGUGAAAUGCGUAGAGAUCUGGAGGAAUACCGGUGGCGAAGGCGGCCCCCUGGACGAAGACUGACGCUCAGGUGCGAAAGCGUGGGGAGCAAACAGGAUUAGAUACCCUGGUAGUCCACGCCGUAAACGAUGUCGACUUGGAGGUUGUGCCCUUGAGGCGUGGCUUCCGGAGCUAACGCGUUAAGUCGACCGCCUGGGGAGUACGGCCGCAAGGUUAAAACUCAAAUGAAUUGACGGGGGCCCGCACAAGCGGUGGAGCAUGUGGUUUAAUUCGAUGCAACGCGAAGAACC